GAUGAACGCUAGCUACAGGCUUAACACAUGCAAGUCGAGGGGAAACGACAUCGAAAGCUUGCUUUUGAUGGGCGUCGACCGGCGCACGGGUGAGUAACGCGUAUCCAACCUGCCCACCACUUGGGGAUAACCUUGCGAAAGUAAGACUAAUACCCUAUGAAGUUCUUCGCAGGCAUCUAAAGAGAACGAAAGAUUUAUCGGCAACGGAUGGGGAUGCGUCUGAUUAGGUUGUUGGCGGGGUAACGGCCCACCAAGCCCACGAUCAGUAGGGGUUCUGAGAGGAAGGUCCCCCACAUUGGAACUGAGACACGGUCCAAACUCCUACGGGAGGCAGCAGUGAGGAAUAUUGGUCAAUGGGCGCAAGCCUGAACCAGCCAAGUAGCGUGAGGGAAGACUGCCCUACGGGUUGUAAACCUCUUUUGUUGGGAAUAAAGUGCGGGACGCGUCCCGCAUUGCAUGUACCAUUUGAUAAGGACCGGCUAAUUCCGUGCCAGCAG
rnacentral:rRNA from 1 species